rnacentral:RNase_P_RNA from 1 species
UCGGGUAAUCGCUGCAAAGAGCUUUAUGCGAAUUGUAGAGGAAAGUCCAUGCUCGCACGAGCUGAGAUGCUCGUAGUGUUCGUGCCUAGCGAAGUCAUAAGCUAGGGCAGUAAGGAUUCGUCUUUGCUGACGGCAGGGAAAAUGCCUAAGUCCAUUUGGAUAUGGUGUGAAUACCUUGAAAGUGCCACAGUGACGUAGCCUCUUUAGAAAUAAAGAGGGUGGAACGAGGUAAACCCCGCGAGCGAGAAACCCAAAUUAUGGUAGGGGCACCUUCUCUAAGGAAAUGAACGAGAGAGAAGGACAGGUUGAUUUUUCAAUCUGUAGAUAGAUGAUUGCCACCGGAGUACAAGACUUUUGUCGUUUGUAGUACAAUGGUACAAAACAUGGCUUACAG